rnacentral:rRNA from 1 species
CAAUGGCACUGCCCGGUAGCUAAAUGCGGAAGAGAUAAGUGCUGAAAGCAUCUAAGCACGAAACUUGCCCCGAGAUGAGUUCUCCCUGACCCUUUAAGGGUCCUGAAGGAACGUUGAAGACGACGACGUUGAUAGGCCGGGUGUGUAAGCGCAGCGAUGCGUUGAGCUAACCGGUACUAAUGAACCGUGAGGCUUAACCUUACAACGCCGAAGGUGUUU